AGUAAUAUAAAUUUACAACCGCAGACAGUUAGCGGGGGUGGAACGGAUUAAGUUCCCGAGUUUUGAAAAAGACUUGUUUCUCCCUUAAUAUUCCAGCUAACCGAGGUAAGACAGUCGAAAUAUAAUAAAAUAGAUUUGUUAACCUAUGAGAUUUUGCGGUCAUAUAUGAAAGAUGCAAAAUCUUUUGUAUUUUAAA
rfam:Clostridium sp. CAG:768 genomic scaffold, scf17